rnacentral:rRNA from 1 species
GAUGAACGCUGGCGGCGUGCCUAAUACAUGCAAGUCGAGCGAACAGACGAGAGUGCUUGCACUCUCUGACGUUAGCGGCGGACGGGUGAGUAACACGUGGGUAACCUACCUAUAAGACUGAGAUAACUUCGGGAAACCGGAGCUAAUACCGGAUAAUAUUUAGCUUCGCAUGAAGCAAUAGUGAAAGACGGUUCUGCUGUCACUUAUAGAUGGACCCGCGGUGUAUUAGCUAGUUGGUGAGGUAACGGCUCACCAAGGCAACGAUACAUAGCCGACCUGAGAGGGUGAUCGGCCACACUGGGACUGAGACACGGCCCAGACUCCUACGGGAGGCAGCAGUAGGGAAUCUUCCGCAAUGGACGAAAGUCUGACGGAGCAAUGCCGCGUGAGUGAAGAAGGUUUUCGGAUCGUAAAACUCUGUUGUAAGGGAAGAACAAGUACGUUAGUAACUGAACGUACCUUGACGGUACCUUACCAGAAAGCCACGGCUAACUACGUG